UGGGGAUAUAGCUUAGCUGGUAGAGCGCCUCCAUGGCAUGGAGGAGGUCAGGAGUUCGAAUCUCCUUAUCUCCAU
rnacentral:tRNA from 1 species